GAAAAAAAAUAUUGAAGCUGCUAACUUUGAUUGGGGGGGGGUUCUCCUUUUUU
rnacentral:tRNA from 1 species